rnacentral:rRNA from 1 species
UACGUAGGGGGCUAGCGUUGUCCGGAUUUAUUGGGCGUAAAGAGCGUGUAGGCGGCCAGGUAGGUCCGCUGUGAAAGUCCGAGGCUCAACCUCGGAAUGUCGGCGGAAACCCUCUGGCUAGAGUCCGGAAGAGGAGAGUGGAAUUCCCGGUGUAGCGGUGAAAUGCGCAGAUAUCAGGAGGAACACCGAUGGCGAAGGCAGGUCUCUGGGCCACUACUGACGCUGAGAAGCGAAAGCAUGGGGAGCGAACAGG